UCAUAGAGAUCAGUGAAUCUGCAUUGCAGACACAUUCCCUGCUCAGCGUGUCAGCAAGGUGUCCUUUUGAAGCAAGCCUCUGUCUCAGCUCCCUCUGUGCUAAAUUGCAUUGGAAGAUGGAUUUUUGGCAUCUGAGGCUGUCAGGUCUCAGCCAUGGAAGACUUUAUGCACUAGUACACCCGCUAUGAAAGUGAUUCUGGAGGGAUGGAGGGGUAUAAGAGUGGUGUCAUAAUGAUGAUAGGAUCUGGUCCGGCAGCUAUCUGAAGACCAUCUUCAUUCCAGACUGAACUAUUAUCUUCAUUUUCAUUAAAGUUAUUGCAGUGUGCAUAUGCA